ACAGCAGCCGCCGCGGUAAUACGAAGGGGGCUAGCGUUGUUCGGAUUUACUGGGCGUAAAGCGCACGUAGGCGGACUUUUAAGUCAGGGGUGAAAUCCCGGGGCUCAACCCCGGAACUGCCUUUGAUACUGGAAGUCUUGAGUAUGGUAGAGGUGAGUGGAAUUCCGAGUGUAGAGGUGAAAUUCGUAGAUAUUCGGAGGAACACCAGUGGCGAAGGCGGCUCACUGGACCAUUACUGACGCUGAGGUGCGAAAGCGUGGGGAGCAAACAGGAUUAGAUACCCCCGUAGUCCCUGUCUCUUAUAU
rnacentral:rRNA from 1 species